rnacentral:rRNA from 1 species
GACGAACGCUGGCGGCGUGCUUAACACAUGCAAGUCGAACGGAAAGGCCCUGCUUUUGUGGGGUGCUCGAGUGGCGAACGGGUGAGUAACACGUGAGUAACCUGCCCUUGACUUUGGGAUAACUUCAGGAAACUGGGGCUAAUAUCGGAUAGGAGCUCCUGCUGCAUGGUGGGGGUUGGAAAGUUUCGGCGGUUGGGGAUGGACUCGCGGCUUAUCAGCUUGUUGGUGGGGUAGUGGCUUACCAAGGCUUUGACGGGUAGCCGGCCUGAGAGGGUGACCGGCCACAUUGGGACUGAGAUACGGCCCAGACUCCUACGGGAGGCAGCGGUCGAGAAUAUGACACAAUGGGCGCAAGCCUGUUGCAGAAACGCCGCGUGCGGGAUGACGGCCUUCGGGUUGUAAACCGCUUUCGCCUGUGACGAAGCGUGAGUGACGGUACUGAGUAAAGAAGCACCGGCUAACUACGUG